CUUCUGGUCAAGCAGGGGAGAAGGGGAAACUUGGUGUCCCAGGAUUGCCAGGAUAUCCAGGAAGACAAGGUCAAAAGUUCUGGAAGCCAGAAGUCUAAAAUCAAGUGUCAGCAGGGCUACCGUCCUUCCAAAGGCGGUAGAGGAAGUCUGUCCCUGCCUCUUCCAGCUGCUGGUAGCCCCAGGCGCUCCUCGGCUUGCGUAGGCAUAACUGCAGACUCUGCCCCUUCUUCGCAUGGCCUGUC